rnacentral:rRNA from 1 species
AUCAUGGCUCAGGAUGAACGCUGGCGGCGUGCUUAACACAUGCAAGUCGAACGAAGCACUUUGAUUGAUUCUUCGGAUUGAUUUCAAAGUGACUUAGUGGCGGACGGGUGAGUAACGCGUGAGGAACCUGCCUUGGAUGGGAAUAACAGUUAGAAAUGACUGCUAAUACCGCAUAAUGCAGUUGGGUCGCAAUGGCCCUGACUGCCAAAGAUUUAUCGCUCUAAGAUGGCCUCGCGUCUGAUUAGCUAGUUGGUAGGGUAACGGCCUACCAAGGCGACGAUCAGUAGCCGGACUGAGAGGUUGGCCGGCCACAUUGGGACUGAGACACGGCCCAGACUCCUACGGGAGGCAGCAGUGGGGAAUAUUGGGCAAUGGGCGCAAGCCUGACCCAGCAACGCCGCGUGAAGGAAGAAGGCUUUCGGGUUGUAAACUUCUUUUGUCAGGGACGAAUUCUGACGGUACCUGACGAAUAAGCCACGGCUAACUACGUG